AAACGAGCGAGAAUUGGGGCGCAGAGCCUUGGGAGGGCCGUUCCCUCGGCGGGAGCGGCCCGAGCACAGCCUCACAGCAGAUGCGAGCGCGGCGGGCGCUUUGGUGACGAAGUAGCGGGACCUGCAGGAGGCAGAGGCCUGGUGGGGCCGUGGACGCCACGCCGAGCUGCCCAGACCCUUCCAGAAGACAGUGGGGACUAUUCAACGGUUUCCAGCAGAAACUAAGCCAGGUGUUCGUUUUACGGAGAUUGCUCGGCUGCAGGGUGGAGGCUGGAUGAGAACAGGCGUCCUCUCAGGUAGGCGCUCGUGGUGGUAACGCUGCCCAGGAGGAGGGCACGGGUUCCGGGAAGACUUGCGAGGUUAAACCGGCAGCUCCGGAGAACUGAGCGCAAGAGGUCGGUGACACAGAGAGGAGUCCGGGAGGCCGCAUGUUUCAGGCUGAAGUCACUUGGCGGGGACGUUUAUUGAGAUGCGAAACACAGGAAGGGAUAGAGGCUGCGCAGAGGGAAAAGGCGAUGGACUCGGUUUUGGAAACGCUGAUGUGAAGUCCCUACGAUGAAAAAAGAAAUCUUCCGAUUUCUCCCUUUGAAGUCUUUGCUUCUUCCGUUGCAAAGAACACAGCCUAUGACAUCAGGUUGAAACCAAGAAUGUAGUUCUCUGAAAAUACUGUGUGUGGGGGAGGGAGUUUAUCUUGUCUCAUUCCUUACAAGGAUACUUUGCUCUCCGACACCUUAGCUCCCUGAAAGUUUCCUAGAUCGUCCAUCUUUUCCUCAUUUUUUCGACUGCAAGCAAUGAACUGUUAAUUUUUUACAGUUUGGUUUUACAGCCACACACUUUAUUCUUCUUUGUCAAGUUUAAAGUAUUCUAGGGCUUGUGCCUUCCCACAUAAAAUUUAGAAUAAACUUGUCUGUUUCUACAAAAA
rnacentral:lncRNA from 10 species